GGCGGUUUGCAGAGCUACGCAGAGUCUCAGAGUCCUGUUGGAAGAAACUGCCUAGGGAUGGGAGGGUCUGUACUGAAGCGGUCACACCCCUUUCCCUUGUCCCUGCCGUGGCAUUUCUGAGGAAACCUACAGGCAGAAACUGGCUGCGGGGGCGAAGGAAAAAAAAAGUUGAGUCUCAAAGAAGGAACAACCUUGGUGGCAUUCGAGUGGUGCCAAAGAAUAAAAAGAUGAAAAACAGCACACAACCUGAGACAUCCGGUGGUGGUGACUGUCACCUAUAUGAAGCUGUGAAUCAUGGCUGGCCAGGCUGUUAAGCAUGGGACUGAAAUGGCAGUAGAGGGUCAAGGUUCAGAUGAGAAAAGUGUAAGGUAGUAACAAUUCUGCCCUUGAUGGGCAAAUCGUGUUCUGGUUCAGUGGAUGGGUUCUUGACAAGCUUGUAUCAAGUCUUGGGUCUGAUCCUGAACACAGCAAAAAAAAAAGGGGUGGUGGUGGUGGUGGCUGUGUAAUUUCAUGUACAUUUGUGAAGUUUAGAGGAAAUAUUUUUAUGUCAAUCCCCCAGGACUGGUGCAGAGCAAACCUUUAGUACAUGGUAGCUGGUAUUUGAUUUUCCUCAGCCUUAAGGGAAGCCAGGCCAGUGAGAAGAGCCACUUACGCUCAGGUUCUCUGACAGACCCGAAGGCAUGUGAGGAGAGCGCUGGGCACCAGGAUCAGGUGAAGACCUGAGUCUGGGUUCCCCUUUGCCAUGAGCUAGUAAGCUCAUGAGGGUGUCAUGAGGAACUUUUUUCCCUGGGCUGCAGUGUCUUUCAAACUUAAUUUGUAGCUGCACCUCUUGUGUCGCAGUGACCCCUUAGGGGAAGUCUGGACUUAAAAUGCACAUGAGCGUCAGGCACAUUGCAGCUCAGAGUGGCUCUGCGGAACAGUGCCUCCCUGACUUGGGCACAUCUUCCUUGCACCUGCUGGGGACGCCUCAGCUCACAGUCUGGACAGUCUUUGGCUGAGCCGCAGGGACAGCAAGGUCAUCUUGGAUUCUGGAAGGAGGCUGUCAGCCCCUGCUUAAAAUGCCAUGUUGCCCGGAGCCUGUGAAAGCCUUGUGCACACUUCCAGUGCCUACCAGCACGUGACUUUCCCUCUGACAGCAGCAACAAUCUGCCGGCCCCACCCCUUUGGGUCCAUGGCACUUAGGCAACUUCUUUCCUUCAUGGCGCCCUUAAGCCCACUUUCUUCUGUGACCGGCAACAAAAGAGCACACUGCUUCUGCAAGACCUCAUGAUGACACUGUGUCAACGUGUGGUAUCCCUCCACUUCAGAGCCAGGAUGCCACCAGGUGCUGCAAGCUCCUUCCUGAGAUCCAGAAUUUCUCUUGGACCCAGAUCCAAAGACUCAUCACGGAGGUACCACAGAUUGGAGGCAGAAGUGGAGAGAUGGGAAGGAUACUGGAUAGAUGAUAGAUGUACCCGAGGUCGCCAGUCCCUCCCUCCAUCUACUGUGCCCUGUGCCUUGGGCUGAUGUGCAAGUUAAAGGAGGAGGAGAAGGAGCGUGACAGGAAGGUCCAGAAGUUGGAAGGAACCAUGGCAGAACUGAGGAGACAGAUGGCCCUGGAGCCCCAAGCAGGGCCAUGAGGAGCAGCAGCUGUUUUCUGAGCUCCAGUGGCUGCAGAAUGAGCUGGAGCACAUCUUGGGGCAGCUUAAUGCACAGGUGCAACAAAGCCAGAGCCUGUAUAGAAGGAACCUGAAGCAUGAGGAGCGGCUGCGCCAGCUGGAGUGCAAGUCAGAGCUGUGGGCCACACUGUUACCGGAGGACAGGAACAUCCUGCAGUGUAUCCAGAGCAAGCACAAUACCGUCAGUAGCAGAACUGUGAGCUCAAGGAACAUUUGGCCUAGCUGAAGUUCAGCUUCCUCAGGCUGGUACAUGGCCACUGCUUGCUGGGCUCCUCACUGCCAGGUCCUUCAGGGCAGAGCAACAGACUUAAUCCUCUGGGUCUUUCUCCUCACACACACACUAACAAUAAAAUGGACCAAUAUAGCCCUCAACUGUGAAAGUGCCCGUGAGCCAGACCCCUGCUCCAGCAUCUGGCAGGAAAUGGAGAGAAUCCUGCAUACUGCCCUCUGCUAUGGACACCCAGGUUAAGGUCCUGGGCCUGGCUGUGCUGGUGGCACUGAUUACCAUUCUCUGUAGAGUGAAGACAACACCCAUAUCAACAACACGCUAUAACCUGAGCAGCUUGAGAGGAAGGAGCUGGCCAGGAAGCUGGGCCAGCUGCAAGAGAAGCUGUUAGAGCUCACAGCAGCGGUAACUCCUGCCCCAUGAGACUGGGCUAGGACACAGGUGCCAGCCAUGGGCAGGGUAAGUGCUGGGGCCAGGUCUGGUCUCACAGCUUGGAGACAAGUGACCCCACAGUCCUGCAGCGCCUGGCAGAGCAGUUCUCUAAGUGUUUCUUGUGUAGGGGACAAUGACUCUUAGCAUAUCAUUUUAAGAUAGAAUAAUUCUAGUCUUAAUGCAAGCCUCAAAAUGUGUCUUGAGAAA